UACGGAGGGUCCAAGCGUUAUCCGGAUUUAUUGGGUUUAAAGGGUGCGCAGGCGGAACUUUAAGUCAGUGGUGAAAUCUUGCCGCUUAACGGUAAAAUUGCCAUUGAUACUGAAGUUCUUGAAUGUAGUUGAGGUAGGCGGAAUGUGCUGUGUAGCGGUGAAAUGCAUAGAUAUGACACAGAACGCCAAUUGCGAAGGCAGCUUACUAAGCUACUAUUGACGCUGAGGCACGAAAGCGUGGGGAGCGAACAGGAUUAGAUACCCUGGUAGUCCACGCCGUAAACGAUGAUCACUCGCUGUUUGCGAUACACAGUAAGCGGCUGAGCGAAAGCAUUAAGUGAUCCACCUGGGGAGUACGAUCGCAAGGUUGAA
rnacentral:rRNA from 1 species